ACCGGCUCAGCCCGGCGCCAUCUUAGAGUUGGCUUCCUACAGUCAAGUCGCCACUCUUAUGGAAUUUAGUCUAGAAGAGAUGGCAAGGAAAAUAGAAAUAGAAUAGCAGAUCAUUAAAACUCCAGUGUACGAUACAAAACAACUGUGAUGAGGGCAGACAGAAGAUGGUGAAUUCUAGGAUACUUGGCAGAGACCCACCGGAGACGGUGAUAUCUUAACCCACCACAGGACAAGGCAAAAAUCUGGAGUUGGAGUUUCCUAAGCAGCAAAAUAGCAAAAUGCUUCAAGGUGGGUUGGAACAAAGGUGGAGUACCUGGGCCAGCUUGAGUAAAAGGAUAGAUAGUAAGAGAUGGGCUGGCCCCUGGAAAGCCAUCCCAGAUAGGAUGCUGAAGGUCCCACCACCAAGUUUGGAUUUUCUCAGCUUGUAACAGAAAGGCACUAGAAACCAUAAGCAAGAAUCAAUGCGAUCUGAAUUUCUCUUAAAAUUAAAUCUCACCAUUGUAUGAAGAAAACAUGCAGGGAAAAUAUGAAAAGCAGAGAGUUUAGGAAGAUAAUUUUAAAAAAAGAAGCUAAAUUUUCUGGAUUGGAUGCUUUAAGGUUUCAUAAUGCUAUUUACCACAAAAAAAAAAGAGCAAAAAUAGAAAGGAGAGAGACAGGAGAAAAAUAAGCAAUAACUGGGCAUAUUAAAUAUGAGUAGCUUUGAAUAUUUCCACAAAAGUAAACAUUAUGAAAUAAAAGCACAAUAUGGAGCUGUCCACACUGGAAAGACAAUCGAGUUAAUAAUACAGAUUCAAGAUGCUGUUGGCCCAUGGAUUGUGUCUGAAACUAUAAAAAUGCAUAAGAUCCCCUAGAAUGUAUAUGUAAGCCAUGGAGAGAAACCCUAUGGAAGGCGCCCGUGGCAUGAAUCAACAGGAUGUCUUGGAUUAAGAAGGAACAACCAGGGACAAGAUAUUUAAAAGAAAAACAAAACAAAGCAGAAAACAGUGCCACAAAAAUGAAAGUGGGUCAAAGGGCGGGAAAAGGUUAAAUAAAGCAACUCUACACUUGCUGUUCCUCUGCUCUUUCCAACAAGGAAGCCAUCAAUAGCCUUGACGAGAACAGUUUGUGAAGGAAAAGAGGAAGACACAUCACUAGACCAGGAGUAAAUGGGAGGGGACAAAGUAGGACCAGAAAGACACACUCUAAAGCUUUGGCUGUGAAAGAGAAGAUGAAAGGAAGGCAGCAAGUACCAAAGACACGCAAGGCUAGACGCCACAGUUUCUAGAAUCCCACAAACAGACUUUUCAAUUCUAUUCCCACCUUCGUAGCUCAUCUGCUCUGUUCCCAGAAUUCCCAGUGUUUAAUCUUCUAGCCAUGGGCUCCCAAGUGGGCUCCUCCUAGUCUGUAUGAGGGUGGCCUCCUCUAUGCCCUAGAAAUGCCAGAUUCACGUUGGCCUAAGGAUGGAUUACACACACUCCCUGCUGGGAGGAUCUGCCCAAUUGCGUUUGGAUUUUAUUAUUAACUGAAAAUGUGAGUGAUCAUCAGUCUGUUCCUUAAAACAUAAUUCUCUCCAGGGUCCAUUUAUUUCUCUGAAGCCAAAAUUCCUUGGGCUGUGAAACACAGAGACAUGGAAAGCAGCAAAGGGCAAAUAGAACCUAUUGACAAGAACACACUGUGGAGCAUAAGGGGAAAACACUGUCUUAUCUCCACCAAAAACUAAAAAACAGAUUCUAUUCAGAGCAAUGGGGUCUACCCCGUAUCGUGUCCUCUUCAUAAGUGUGAGCACUUUGAGUUGUUCGACAAUCCCUUCUGAAUAGGGAAAACCCAAUGGAGACAAACAUCUCCCUCAAUUGAGUUAUUCACAGCACAAAGUCCUCAGCACAAUUCCAUUCUCUGUGGGUGAACUCCCUCCACUUCUAAGGAGCCUGCUAGAAAUGGAGAGCCUAUCACAGACAUCACCCCCCAGUGCCAACCCAAGAUUCUGUCGUAGUUGUUGAGUAUGUUGGAUUUGUUUGUGCAACUCUGUUCAGCAUGAGAACAGGGAAUAGAACUCUAGCUUCCCAGUUCUGGAUGGCUUUCAAAACAGAAAGAACUCCUCUGAGUUGAUUAGAAUAAAGCAUCUCCCAAGGGGCCCAAGGCGGAAUGUUGACUCCAAAAAAAGGCAGUCCAUGGCAAGGGGAGGGCAAUUUGCUCCAUCCCAUGGGCAUUCUCUCCCACCCACUUUCUGUGGGGACAGUAUCACAGGAAGCAAUAUUUUUCCCCAACACUGAUGGCUUCUCCUCAUGACGCAUGGGUGAAGCAAUGGAGGGAAGGUCGUUGUUGUUUUCUUCAAAUGUCUUUAAAGAUCAUCCCAUUCUUGCAAAUGUGAAACUUCCUGAUAACCUUUCCCCAAAAAAAGUCAGGAACAAUAUGGCAUAAACCAGAUGGUCCCUUGAGGCACUCUUUCUCUUGGAAAAUUAAAAAAAAAAAAAAAG
rnacentral:lncRNA from 1 species